UCAGCCCUGGGGUGGGUGCCAGGAUCCGGCCUCACAUCCGGCUCGGCUUCCCCCUUGCAAGCGGCGCGGGGCUAAUUUCAAUUAUCUUCUCCAGGCCAUAUGAAUUCUAUUAAUAUCAAAGUAAUGAGGUAAUUACUGUGAUUUGGAGGAACGGCUGGGGAAUUGCUUUGGAUAGGAUUUCGCCAGCCGAAGAGGGUAAAUUAAAACCUCUGUUUGGAAGGGAACAAAAGGCUGCAUCUGAGGCGAGCAGAGAGGCGCGGGUGCCAGCCCAGGGCCGUGGGGGACACCCAGGGGCUGAGUGGAGUCCUGCCACUGACGCCACUUGGUCCUGGAGCGGAUCUGAGGCGCAGAAGCUGCAGCAGGCGCAGGGAGCCCUGCUGAUGUG
rnacentral:lncRNA from 1 species